AUUUUCGGGUGAUCGCGGUCUGAGUUUUCAGACUGAGGAAAGUCCAUGCUCGCACAGGCUGAGAUGCCUGUAGUGUUCGUGCUUAGCGAAAACAUAAGCUAAGGUACUGGAAAUAGUGAAUCGACUUUCUUUAGAAGAUUGUUGUAUUGCUAUUUAAAGUAACGGCAGGAAAAAUGACUAAGGUUUCGGCUAUGUCAGAGUACCCUUGAAAGUGCCACAGUGACGAAGCAAUUUGGGAAACUGGAUUGGUGGAACGCGGUAAACCCCUCGAGCGAGCAACCCAAACUAUGGUAGGGGCGCUCUUCUAAAGGAAAUGAACGAGUAGAAGAGGCAGAGUAAUCUGCAGAUAGAUGAUGACCAUCAACUUUUUUUCCUGAGAAAAGGUUGAUACAGAACAUGGCUUAUAGAA
rnacentral:RNase_P_RNA from 2 species